rnacentral:rRNA from 1 species
GAUGAACGCUGGCGGCGUGCCUAAUACAUGCAAGUCGAGCGAACAGACGAGGAGCUUGCUCCUCUGACGUUAGCGGCGGACGGGUGAGUAACACGUGGAUAACCUACCUAUAAGACUGGGAUAACUUCGGGAAACCGGAGCUAAUACCGGAUAAUAUAUUGAACCGCAUGGUUCAAUAGUGAAAGACGGUUUUGCUGUCACUUAUAGAUGGAUCCGCGCCGCAUUAGCUAGUUGGUAAGGUAACGGCUUACCAAGGCGACGAUGGGUAGCCGACCUGAGAGGGGGCUGGCCCCCACUGGAACAGCGCCCCGGCCCAGACCCCUACGGGGGGCCCCAGUGGGCAUCUUUCGGAAAGGGGCGAAAGCCGGAGGGCCCAACCCCGGGUGAUUGAUAAAGGUUUUCGAAUCGAAAACCUUUUUUAUUAGGGAAAAACAAAUUUGUAAGUAACUAUGCACUUCUUGACGGUCCCUAAUAAGAAACCCCCGCCUAACUACGCG